rnacentral:rRNA from 1 species
UGGGGAAUAUUGGACAAUGGGGGCAACCCUGAUCCAGCAAUGCCGCGUGAGUGAAGAAGGCCCUAGGGUUGUAAAGCUCUUUCACUGAUGAAGAUGAUGACGGUAAUCAGAGAAGAAGCCCCGGCUAACUCCGUGCCAGCAGCCGCGGUAAUACGGAGGGGGCUAGCGUUGUUCGGAAUUACUGGGCGUAAAGCGCACGUAGGCGGCGUACCAAGUUAGGGGUGAAAGGCCUGGGCUCAACCCGGGAACUGCCUUUAAUACUGGUAUGCUUGAGUUCGGGAGAGGGUAGUGGAAUUCCCAGUGUAGAGGUGAAAUUCGUAGAUAUUGGGAAGAACACCGGUGGCGAAGGCGGCUACCUGGCCCGAUACUGACGCUGAGGUGCGAAAGCGUGGGGAGCAAACAGGAUUAGAUACCCCCGUAGUCC